rnacentral:lncRNA from 1 species
UUUUCUUCUUGUUCUAUCUCUUUCACUGUUCGAAGUUUGCAGAUCGGUUUGAACGAUUGAUCGAGAAGAUAGGGUUCUAAGAAUGACAAGAUUUUUUUUUCCCCUAAAGUUUGGAUUUGGGACUUCUAUGUUAGGGUUUUGUUUGAAUUUGGGGUUUUUUGUUUCUCUUCUUUCGAAUUGUGAACUAUUGUGAUUUUUUUUUUCUUAAAUUGUGUGUGCUUAAUUAAACAAUUUAAAUUUCUAGGAUUAGGGUUUUGUUGAAAAUUUGAGGGUUUUUGUAAAUUACAGGGGUUAGGGAUUUGUGAUGUUACAAUAUUUAUUAGUAAUUGAUGUUCGCUGUUAAUGGAACAUGAUUAUUUGUGGCCACUGAUUUUUUGGGCAAUAUGUUGUUCAUUGUUGUUAAUAUAUCAUUGUAAUACUGCUAGUAAAACAUUUUGAGUUAAGAUUAGUUUGUCUUUGGAUGUGAUAAAGUCUUGUUCUGGCUUCUAAUACCAAAGAAAUUGGUUUUCUAUCAAAAAAAAAAAAAAACAAAAAAAAACCAAAGAACUUGGUUCAUCUGCAAUGGCUGGUAGUUGAAAUUGAAUCUCAGCUCGAUAUUGAAAUUUUCAGUUCAUUCGGAGACCAUUUCUAAAACAAUUCCGUUUUUUUUUAUAUACAUAUAUUUUUUGUUUGCUUUUGGUUUAUUUUUUUGUUGUUUGAUCUAAUAGAUUGAACACAAAAUUGCCUAAAGCAAGAAUGUUCAACAUGUCUGUCAGUUUUUAAUGGUGCAUGAUCCAUAAUUUUAUUUGGUACUCUGAUCACUUGUGGUAUGACUUGUAUGUUCGUUUAUAGUUAGAGCUUUUACUUGUCAAUUUCCAUAUCGCAAGCACAAUUUGCAUUGUAGGUGUUCAGGACUGAACUUUGUCGUUUCUUAAGUAAAUGUUGGUACCAGUGGUUUGUUCUUUGUUGUUCAUGUGAAUUUAUUUCAUAAUGUCAUUUUAACCUUUUUUUUUUAUAAAACCUUUUAAUUCAUUUUUAAGAAUUUAGAUUGCUUAUGUUAUUUACUUGUAUUAAACUGGACUUUUAGCUCAAAUGGUAGAGCAACUGAGAAUUAGGGGGUAUACUUCACAGAAGAUAGUGGUUCAAAUCCACUGAGGUCCAUUAAAGUUGUCAAAGACCAUUUAUGUCUGAAGUUUGUGUGUGCCCUUAUCUGGUAAGUGUGGAAAAGAAAGUAUGUGGGAGGGACUGCAGGUGGAAGUUCUUAUGUGGUUGUGUCCCCAAGGGAUUUUUUGGACUGCAGGCGAUGUGCACCUUGCUAUAAUUCUGCACUAUGUUUGAGGCAUGAGUAUUAUCAGUUCCUUAUAUUUUUGGAUUACAUACGUCAUUUUUCUGUUUAGCUCCGAAGGAAAUUUGUCGCACCCUCACUACAGCGUUAGCAACCAUGGAGUUACACUGUUCCUUUGAUAAAAAAAAAAUGUGUUCCUUGAAUCUCUGUAAUUGAUAUAAUAAAUCUAUUAUAUGGUGCAAUAAUUAGAAUGAAAGUUCUGUAAAUUUAUAAUACCUGGAAGUGUAAUUGUGUAGCCUAUAUUACCUUUUGUUGUUUAGGGUAAAAUUGGUAUGAUUUCAUGUUAAAGUUGCUCAGCGGAGGACUUUUAAAAGGUUGCUCAGCGGAAGACCUUUUGUUGUUUAGGGUAAAAUUAGAUGACUCUCUGAGUACUCGUGGAAAUUUAUGCAUGGUCUUUUAGUCUUUUACAUACGUACUGGACUUAAAAACAUGAAUUCCUUUUUGAUCUUUGUACUCUUAUGGGCUUUGUACAUAUGUAUUUUUCAUUAUUUCAUUUGUUAUAAUUUAUCAAACCGUAGUGAAGUGGAAAAUGUGGUUUGCCAUCUUUUGCCAAAGUGAUUAUUAAACAGAAAACUUUUGGCAAAUGGGUUUUGCCACCUUUUGCCAAACCGGUUAUCAAACUAUGGCAAAAUGUCAAAUG